AAAAAAGCGUAAAGAUUGUAAAUUGCGAAAUUUAUCACAAAACGUUAAUCCAAUAAUUUACUUCAUCAACGAACAAAGUAUUUGUCAAGCUCAUUCAAAAUCCUAAGGGCCUGGACAAUCAGAUCUAUAAUUAUUUCUCAUUUCUAUAGAAAUUGGUUAUAGAUUUUUUUUU